CCAACUUCAGACCCCCCUCCUUACCACACACACUCUCUUACAAACACACACACACUCGCACACACACACACGCUCUCUGUACUGUUUGGGAUCUUGCGUGUGGAGCUGGAUUGGAGCCGAAGGAGCUGCAGGGUCGAUAGUAAUUAAGAUUUCUCCAUAGACUGAGAGUGAAGUGCUGAACCAAGUGGAGAUAAUGGAGCUUUCUUUAGCAGCAGUGCUCUGCUCUUCCUUCUUAGUUCCAGCUCUGGCCUCUACAAUGGAUGAAUUACAAGGUAAGACUCUCUCCUCCUUUCAGACUAUGAAUCUGUGAGGAUCGGGGGUUUGAUCUUCGCUGCCGUGCUCUUCUUCAUGGGGAUCUUCAUUGUCAUCAGCCUUGUGAUCAGCAGCAGCAGCAGCAUCAGGAUGACGGGAGGCUCGAUAGAAUCCGCUUCUUCUUGAAUUUCUCACUUUCAUGACUGUCUUUCACACUGCCGUUUAUCCUGUAGCAGACCUGCUGUCAUAUUAAGUCACUCUGAGCAGGAAAGUAUUAGCGAGUUUUAGUUUAGAUUACUGUGUGCUAGCAGCUGAGAUAGCAGCUUUUUAAUGCUUUUGUAAAAAAAACUACAGCUUAUGUAGAUUCUGUAGCAUGCAGAAUGUUCAGGCAGCAUUCACUUUUAAAUGGUAGCAUUUUAUACAUUUUGUAAAGUCUUCAU
rnacentral:lncRNA from 1 species